rnacentral:rRNA from 1 species
GACGAACGCUGGCGGCGUGCCUAAUACAUGCAAGUAGAACGCUGAAGAGAGGAGCUUGCUCUUCCUGGAUGAGUUGCGAACGGGUGAGUAACGCGUAGGUAACCUGCCUUGUAGCGGGGGAUAACUAUUGGAAACGAUAGCUAAUACCGCAUAACAAUGGAUGACACAUGUCAUUUAUUUGAAAGGGGCAAUUGCUCCACUACAAGAUGGACCUGCGUUGUAUUAGCUAGUAGGUGAGGUAAUGGCUCACCUAGGCGACGAUACAUAGCCGACCUGAGAGGGUGAUCGGCCACACUGGGACUGAGACACGGCCCAGACUCCUACGGGAGGCAGCAGUAGGGAAUCUUCGGCAAUGGGGGCAACCCUGACCGAGCAACGCCGCGUGAGUGAAGAAGGUUUUCGGAUCGUAAAGCUCUGUUGUAAGUCAAGAACGGGUGUGAGAGUGGAAAGUUCACACUGUGACGGUAGCUUACCAGAAAGGGACGGCUAACUACGUGCCAGCAGCCGCGGUAAUACGUAGGUCCCGAGCGUUGUCCGGAUUUAUUGGGCGUAAAGCGAGCGCAGGCGGUUUGAUAAGUCUGAAGUUAAAGGCUGUGGCUCAACCAUAGUUCGCUUUGGAAACUGUCAAACUUGAGUGCAGAAGGGGAGAGUGGAAUUCCAUGUGUAGCGGUGAAAUGCGUAGAUAUAUGGAGGAACACCGGUGGCGAAAGCGGCUCUCUGGUCUGUAACUGACGCUGAGGCUCGAAAGCGUGGGGAGCGAACANGGAUUAGAUACCCUGGUAGUCCACGCCGUAAACGAUGAGUGCUAGGUGUUGGAUCCUUUCCGGGAUUCAGUGCCGCAGCUAACGCAUUAAGNCACUCCGCCUGGGGAGUACGACCGCAAGGUUGAAACUCAAAGGAAUUGACGGGGGCCCGCACAAGCGGUGGAGCAUGUGGUUUAAUUCGAAGCAACGCGAAGAACCUUACCAGGUCUUGACAUCCCGAUGCUAUUUCUAGAGAUAGAAAGUUACUUCGGUACAUCGGUGACAGGUGGUGCAUGGUUGUCGUCAGCUCGUGUCGUGAGAUGUUGGGUUAAGUCCCGCAACGAGCGCAACCCCUAUUGUUAGUUGCCAUCAUUCAGUUGGGCACUCUAGCGAGACUGCCGGUAAUAAACCGGAGGAAGGUGGGGAUGACGUCAAAUCAUCAUGCCCCUUAUGACCUGGGCUACACACGUGCUACAAUGGUUGGUACAACGAGUUGCGAGUCGGUGACGGCGAGCUAAUCUCUUAAAGCCAAUCUCAGUUCGGAUUGUAGGCUGCAACUCGCCUACAUGAAGUCGGAAUCGCUAGUAAUCGCGGAUCAGCACGCCGCGGUGAAUACGUUCCCGGGCCUUGUACACACCGCCCGUCACACCACGAGAGUUUGUAACACCCGAAGUCGGUGAGGUAACCUUUUGGAGCCAGCCGCCUAAGGUGGGACAGAUGAUUGGGGUG